rnacentral:lncRNA from 1 species
ACUGUGGUACAAAACCAAUUUAGCUUCAGAUGUGCUCUUAAUGGCUGUGUCUGUCCCCCCGGCUCAUCCGAUUUUAUUCAAGGUAACAUUUUAGUUAAAUUAUUUAUUACACAUGCUUACAUUGGUUGUAAUCGUUUUAAAUUCACAUUUUCACUUAGUAAAUACAUAUCAUCCAGUGAAAUUAGUUUCAAAUUACUUACGCUUGGCUCAAUAGCCAAUGGAUUUGUGCAUUUGUUUACCCAGAAACUGUGUUAAUGUGAAUUUAUUCCAGCACUUGGUCACAGUGGGUAGGACUGGAUUUUACAGUUAGGCUGCAAGCCUAUAUACACUUUUUCCUGGGAGUAAGAACUAUUUGAACACAGUGGGACUAAGUAAACAUGCAUACAAUUGUGCUGUUAGUACACAGUUGACUUAGACCGCAAGCUUCCACAUAGUGGGGUUGAUAAAAUCCUAUUGCAGGACUCUGCUUGUUCUGACAUUCAGAGGGGUGGGGAAAGAAAUAAUUCAAAAACAUUUUUUUUCUUAUCUUGAAUGAGGAAGGUUUCAGUUUGUUGGAAAAUCCAUGGUGCAAUAGUUUCAUAGGGUGUUUUUUUGGAAAAGAAAAAAUGUAAGCAAACAGUACCCUGACUUAUUUUCUUAUUGGAACUAAGGAUAAGCUCAAAAAGAACAUGCUUUUCAGCUUGUUUCAGAAAUCAAAUGCUAAAUUACAUGUAUUGGACUGUUAUUUUAUAUGGAGGGUUGCUCUUUAUUAGUUCUAGGUAUUUUUAUUCUACUUAAAUAUGUGUGUUUGCUUCUUGGACAAGUGUAAAUCACCUGUUCUUUUGAUGCUGUGAAUGUUUUGAGCUGUGAACGCUUUGUGUCAAAAUGUUAUACCCAUUAAUAUGCUGCCUCUUGCAGCUGAAAUAAAUAAAGCAAAGCAAAGCAAGUGAAUGAAUGUGUUGCACAUCACACCCACAUACACUACGACAGGCAAAACCAUGUUUCAGUACCCUGGACUGCUUGAGUACCAUGGACAGAGGGAAAGCCCCAUCCUUUAUUAUCUUUAUUAUGCACUCUUCCCAACCACUCCACCUCACCAAUACAGCAUUUCUUUCUUAGCAUAGUAGAAGUGUGGAAAUAGGAAGUGUGACUCACUGGUCCUUUCUAUUUUAGUGCUGGUUGCAGCAUGCAAACAGGUUAUUAUUCUUUCCCGAAGAGCUGGUGUUUUAGGUAGAUCAUUCACUUUAAACUUACAUUUUGAGUACAGUGGUUCCAUGCUAAAGAUUACCAGGAUGAAGUAAUAAAGGUAAAGGUAAAGGGACCCCUGACAUUUAAGUCCAGUCGCAAACAACUCUGGGGUUGCGGCGCUCAUCUCGCUUUACAGGCCGAGGGAGCAGGCAUUUGUCUGCUUCCACAGACAGUUUUUCCAGGUCAUGUGGCCAGCAUGACUAAGCCGCUUCUGGCGAAACCAGAGCAACGCAUGAAAACACAAUUUACCUUCCCGCUGGAGCGGUACCUUUUUAUCUACUUGCACUUUGACGUGCUUUUGAACUGCUAGGUUGGCAGGAGCUGGGACCGAGCAACGGGAGCUCACCCUGUCGCGGGGACUCGAACCGCCAACCUUCCAAUCGGCAAGCCCAAGCGGCACAGUGGUUUAUUCAGGCAGAAUGAAUGAACUGUGCACCAUCCCAUUAAAGACAACACAGGGACCCUCUGUGUUUGGGGAUCCCCUGCAAUCACAACUUCAAGAGAUCUCCAAACUGGACUAAAUGCAUUUUAAGGUAAUCUGGGGACAUAUAUGCUAUAUGGGAUGCUUCCAUCUGAAUAUUCAGUAUCGCCAGUAAAUACCUUCAAUCGACAUGCAUUAUUCCCACCACCCUUAGACAUUAGUUUGGGUAUGAUUAGGAUUAUGUGUACGACUAUGGUUGUGUAACACUAUGAUUUGACAACUGUUGUUCUUUCCUCUGGGGAGUUCAAUCGGUACCAUUUCAGUUCUUCUUAAACUAUUGGAGUGAAAUUAUUCCCCAACAUGUUUUUCCUCUAGCCUGUGGCUCUCAUCCAGAUCCUCAAUAUAAAUCUCUGUUUUUUUAAAAAAAAUGCUUAUGCUGUUUGACUUUACCAUAGGGAGAUGAAUAAUAAAGAAAUGCAUUUCCCCUGUCUUUGUUGUGCUGAACACGAGAGCCGUUUCUGCAAAAUUAACCUGUCACUCUCAAGCACUCAGAUAAAGAUAGGAUAGUGCUCGAACUAAUAUGUGCAAGAAUCCUACCUAAGGCUCCACGGAGCUGGAGACAAGUGAAUGACAGUCCAAGAAUCAAUGCAAUUGCCUUGUGAUUUAUUGAGAUUUUUCCUUGGCCAGGAUUCUCAAUUUAAUAUCCAUAGCAACCUUACGCGAUGCUGUUCCAUUUAGAAAUGGAACACGGUCUGUGGAAAAUCCACCGCGUUCAGAAAAGAAAAGCAUUGCCCGGUACUUCUGUAAAUCAAGUAGCUGCAAAAUCUUCCCAGCAAUGUAUAGAGUUGUACUACACAGGAUGUAGGAUCAGCUAUUGGAAAGAUUUGGUGUCGCCCCCUCACUGAUGUGCUAGGUAGGGAGUUUCAUUUAAAGAAAUCAUGGAGGAGUCGUCAAAAAUAUGACUCCCCCACUGCAUUCUGAAAUGGUACCAUCCAUAGUUCUCUUGUUCUCUCUCUCUCUCUCUGUGUGUGUGAGUGUGUGUGUGUGUAUUGCACAGCAUAAUUGGUUAUGACAACCUUGGUGAUUCAUGGGAGAUGAAUCUUCCUGUUCUUCCUGGGACCAUGUGCUCUUUCAGCAAGCAUAUGUAAAGUCUGGGGGUGCUUUUGGAUGCAGCUCUGCUCCUAAAUUCUCAGGUAGCAGCUGUGAAUCCCUUUUACCAGGUUAUACAGCAUCUCCUUCCUCAAUAUAAGACUCACUGACAUCCAUCAUUGAAAAUGACAAAUGGACUACAGCAUUGAGCUGUUCGCAGGGCUACCCCUGGAGAUGUUCUGGAAGCAGCAGCUAGAGCAGAAUGCUCCAAACUCAUUUAUUAAGUCUAUAUUAGCUCAUUUCUAUUGGCUUCUACCACAACCAAGUCAAGGUGUUGGUUAUUACUUAAUCCCUAAAUAACCUUGGGUUAGUAAUGUAUUCUGGAGCAUCUCCUCCUAAUGAACUUGCUUAGGAGUACUUCUCUACCUAAAGAAUGGAAUAGGGUGGUAGUAAUGAUAUGCAGCUCAGCGAGGAAAAAAGAGGAAGCCAUGGAAGGAUUGGCGGGAAGCCGGGGGAUGUGGAAUAAAGAUAACUAAGUUGUAUGUAUUAAGAAUUUGAAAAUGCAGUGGCGUAGCAAGGUCAGGUGGUACCUGGCGUGGAAAACUUUUUGUCAACCUCCGCCAUUGGAAUUAUUAUUUUUUGCCUGCAAAAAAUGGUUUGACUUUGUUUCAUAUUUUUGCAUAGACAAAGUUGUUGAGCUUUUUUUGUGCAGCCAGAGUUGCAAUGAAGAGUCUCCCUGCAGCCCUACAGCUGAGGGGGGAGCCAGUGGGCGGACCGUUUUGGCAGUGGGAAGCCUGUGCAAGCCAAAGCCACAGCGUCUAUCACAGAUGUUGAGUGCCGCACAGCAUUUUGUCACCCCCUUGGAGGUGACACUUGGGGCAAACUGCACCCACUGCACCCACCUUGCUCCGCCCCCGUGAAAAUGCAUAAAUAAAAUAAAAAGGAGUACUUCUCCACCUCUAGUGGAGCCCUGAACUGGACUUUCUACAUGAUGCUGCCACAACUUUGAAAUCUGCUUCCCAGGGAGACCCGCCAAUGCAGCUCAUCACUAGGCUUUCAGCGCAGUGUUAAACCUGUGCUUUUUCAAUCAUUUUAAUUUCUGCAUGGUUGCCUCCUGUUUUUAUUAAUAGUGACUUACUGGCCAACUUAUUGUAUUGACUGUAGAAAUCACCUUGAGCAAUUUUAAAGACAAACAGAAAGACGGAAAGGCAAUGCCUUUUAUAAAUAAAAUAUUAGGAUAUCUGUAAAGUCAAUUGCAUGGCGAGGCCCCGGGCCCCGCAGUUCCCUUGGAUAAUAAACACACAGAAACACACAGAAACAAAUAGUUAAUGGGGUAAAUAAGGCAACAUCUUUAUUGGUUACAGAUGUGAGCAGUUUGGCUUAGGCAUUGGGUGAAACCAGACUAUAUCCUGAAUCUUGCACGUCCGCAGGAAGUCUCUUAAGGGUCAACCACCGGUAGGGGGAGCCCUAUGAUAUACAUCAAUUAACAGCACCUCCAGGGUCCCCGCUGGGGUUGUGGCAUGGCCCUAGCCCACGCCCAGGCUUCGUACAGGAUCCACACCCCCGGAUCCCUUUAAUGGAAUACCCUUAUUGAAGAGGGGCAGGCGGAGGCAACAGUCUCCCCUCCCAUGAACAAACUUACCCAAUUCCUAACCUUACAAAGUUGUGAUGAUUGCUACAAGGUAGGCAAAAACUAAAUGGCUGGUGCCAAUUUGCCAAGUGGCGAAAAAUCCUACCUGGCCCCAACAAUAAGGCGACCGACAUUAGUCCAUAGCAAGGCCAAAGUCAAGCAACACAUGAAAAGAGGGUGGGUGGGCUGGGUGAUCCAAUGAGGAGGUGAAAGGAGGCCGUCCCCCCCCCCAGUUUAAACAGCAAGCUGCUACUAAUGAUGCAGCAUAACAACAUAUCCAUACUCCGCUGGCAGGAGAGGCUUCUGUACAUGAGCUGUGAGACCUGAUUCACAACCCUAAAGGAAUACCAGGUGAUCCUUCACAGGGAGCUGUCAAACCAUUGGUCCACCUAAUUCAGUGUGUACAUUGACUGGCAGUGGCUCUCUAGGGUUUCAGGCUCAGUACAUCCCUAACACUACCUGGAGAUCCUGGGGACUAAAUCUGGGACCUUGUGUGUCCAAAGCGCAGCCAUUUCCCUUCUGGCCCAUUUCACCAUGAUUUUGUUCUGGGCAUGCCCACAAACUUCUGACACUCCACAGAUGCCACCACAAUCUCUUGUCUGUCUUGUGAACCUGAAACAGUCAGGAUCCCCCCUCUCCCCAUAGAACCAUGGGUAGAGGGAGAUACCUUUGCACAAACAUUUCCAAGCAUGAUCUACAAGCACCUUAACUUAGCUUUGGGAGAUGGAUCCACCAUAUUGAAUUACUGCACCAAUUUGUUAGAGUAAAUAUCCACUUAAUAAGAUUCAAGGGGAAAAUAUUCUUCAAAGGUUACUUACUCUAGAGAGACUGAUUAGGAAUAUUUGCCAAACAUAAAUGGAAAUGUUGAACUGCACCCAAAUGCUAUGAUUAAGAUAGCUGUUCAAUCUGCUGGCACUUCUUCCAUUCUUGUAAUGGCCUGGUGCCCAAAUGAGACAGGCAGGCAAGAAAUAUACCCAAUAAUGCUGUCAUCGGAUAUAGCAGAGCAGUGACCUCAUAAAGUUAGCGAUUUCCCCUCCCAAAAAGUAAGUCGCUUUCUUCUCUUCCAGCAUAUCACACAGCCUUCCCCAUAAUUCAGUUUACAUACAUGGCAUUUAAAAAAAAAAAAAAGCAAUGGUGAAGGAUUUAAAUGGAGAAGGAAGUGUCAGUUAUCCUAGCAUGCUUCUUUAAAAGAAACAAGUUCUGUUAGUUAUUUUAAUAAAAUGAUACCGUAGAAAGACAGAUAGGGAUCUCGCACUUCCCUCCAAGUAAUCAGAAGCGCUCCUGUGUAUCUAGCCAUCUUAACUUGUCUACAUCACUAUAAUGCAUGCACUUAAAACAAAAACCUGAAAUGGGAUUUCCUAAAGGGACAUGCCAUCUGAAACAGAGAAAGAUGGGGUACUAUGAGCCGAAACCUGCCCCUGAAAUACACAACAAUACCACUAAGGCGAGUUUCAUCAUUUCCGACUCAUGAACAUUAUUGUUGUCACUAUUCAUUGUGUAUUUGAAUUAUGUAUUUUGAAAUGUUGCAAAUUGCUCCUGGGAACAUGUUUGAAAAGUAGGGUAAAAGCGCCUUUAAAAAUUGUAUUGAAUAAGGCUGGUUUUAUAUUUAUGGAGAUUGUUGAUACAUUUAUUGAAAUCAAGGAACGCAAACCUUUCUAAGGAAAGAUUCUGCUUCCUCUUCUAGUGGAGUAAAUCUGAAACUUCUUGGUGAAAAUUAAUGAAGUUACAUCGGUUUUACAUUUGGGUAAAUGGCAGUAGAGCUUUACUGUGCAAUUCUUUAAUGGGUGCUAAAGCAUAGUUUUGAUUUGAUUUUACAGUGUGGAACAACUGUUAACAAAGAGCAUACUGUGUGUAUUAUCACUGCAAUGAAGCCACCAUGACUCUUCUGAAUUUCAAUGCAGUGAAUACUAUGGUUCACGCUGGGAUUCUGAACUGCCCAGUUUACAAUAUGCAGCCAGUAGGUCAAAAUGUAGGUUUUAAAAUGCCUUGUUAACACUGUACUUCCAGUAAGUGCACAGGAAGAGCAUUUCAGUUGCACUGCACUUUGAAAAGCCCUUGCUUUGUUCUGUGGCAGGCAAUACGUUAAAUUCAUUGUCAACUAGACCCUUCUGAGAAAAUGAACUAGGCCCUCAAGACAAGGCCAUUUACAAAGGAGGAGAGGGGGCAUGACCAUUUGCAAAUGGUUCUUCUCCCUACUGGGACAUCUGGUUUGCAUGCAGGUUCAAACCCUGGUAUCUCCAAGUAGGCCUAGAGAAGACCCCGCCUGAAAUCCCAAAGAGCUGGUGCCAAUCAUUGUAGUCAAUAUUGAGCAAGAUGGAGAGUUUGCCUGACUUAGCAUAAAACAGCUUACUCUGUCCCUAUGAGCUGAUGUUGCAAUGUGCCUGGUUCAUAUCUAGCAAACUCAGCUCUUGGGAAAUGUGGCUUAAUGCACCCUAGAACAUGCACAACAUUCUCUCACAGCUGUCAGAGGACAGGUCUGUCUAUUUCUCCACCUGGACCAUCAUUGUCUGCUGUGGUUCUACAGGAUCCCAGACAGAGGUCUUUCUAAUCCCUUGCUACCUGAACAUUUCAACUGGAGAUGUCAUGCAUUGCAUCUGAGAGCUUUUGCAUACUACUCAAUUAUGGCCAGUUGUCUUUGUCCAUGGAGUUUUCUUGGCAGGGAGGAGAAGGGGACGAAAGAGGGCGAGAUGGUUGGAUAGUGUUCUCGAAGCUACCAGCAUGAGUUUGACCAAACUGCGGGAGGCAGUGGAAGACAGGAGUGCCUGGCGUGCUCUGGUCCAUGGGGUCAUGAAGAGUCGGACACGACUAAACGACUAAAAAACAACAAUUAUGGCCAAUAUCCAAUGCUGUCUGCCAUUACAGCGAAAUUCCUCUUAUGAAUCCAAAAAAUUCUUGGAUUCCACAGACCACCAUUUGAAGCAAUGGACAAUGGCACCUACAUACCCUCCAACAUUUCUCCAAUGAAAAUAGGGAUGUCCUAAGGAAAAGUGGGACAUUCCAGGAUCAAAUCAGAAACUGGGGCAGCUUCUAUAAAUCCAGGACAGUCCCUGGAAAAUAGGGACGAUUGGAGGGUCUGCGCCUGUGUUACUGAUGCUUCCAAAAUGAGAUAGAAACAAAUGCCAGGUUUGAAACAAGCACCAGUUCUCAUUACUGAUUUUUUGUGUGAAUUAUUUGGAAGGAUAUGUGGAUGACGUAGGAUAUGUGGAAAUGGCCAUUCACCUCCUGACAGCUGCUAAAAUGCUGAUUCCAACGUACUCAGGAGUGGGGGGAGAAUCCCCUCUUUCAUUAGAAUGGACUUUCAGAAUAUAGCAGUUGACAAUAAUGCAUAAAGUAACAUACUAUGUCACAGCAAGAGAUGAUGCAGUGUUUGAGACCAAAUUUGUUGAAAAAUGGGCAACUUCACCACCUUUUGAACUGAGAAAUUCAGUGAUGAAAUCAGACUGUAUUCUUUGGUUUGAAGAUGAAUUGUAUUAAUCAACUGGAAAACAAUUCAUCGCGAUGGAAACAAUACAGCGGUACCUCAGGUUAAGUACUUAAUUCGUUCCAGAGGUCCAUACUUAACCUGAAACUGUACUUAACCUGAAGCACCACUUUAGCUAAUGGGGCCUCCUGCUGCCAUCGCACCGCUGGAGCACGAUUUCUGUUCUCAUCCUGAAGCAAAGUUCUGAACCUGAAGCACUAUUUCUGGGUUAGUGGAGUCUGUAACCUGAAGCGUAUGUAACCUGAGGUACCACUGUAAUAACAUUUUAAAAGAAAAGAAAAGCAUACUAGAUGAAAUGCUCCGUUAUGAUUUGUUAGCAUUUGGUUAUGAGAUGUUGAAUUAUUUAGGUUUGCUUUCUUUUUGAAAGCAUUGGGCAUUUGAAGCUGUCUUAUAGCAAGGCAGACAACUUGUGUAUGUAGCUCCGUAUUUUCUGCCCCAUUUCAUUGUGGCCGGUCUCACCUUUGCUAGCUCUGCUAUCAGAGUUCUUAAUCAAAGCUACCAAGAUUUCUACUCUGGAUCUCAGCACAUGCUCUCCCACUGAGCAAUGAUCUUUCCUUAAAUACAAGGUUACAGAUGAAAGUUGCAAUAUUUUUCUGAGCACUGAGCAGCGUAUGUUCCAUGAAGAACUGCUGUACCUUUGCUGUUAAAGGUUAGGAGAAAAAUCUCCAGGAUCCAUUAGGCUGGUUCACACAUCACUGUAAGCCGUGGUUAAUGACUUGCGAUGAACAAACAGAUUGCACCCACUUCGCUUCUCCUGUAAGCACAAGGAGGAGGAACAAGACAUAAUUCUUAGCUUAGUGCGAUACCAGAAUUCUGGGACAUGGUUUGCACUGCUCAUAAAACCCACAACCAAGAAGCUAGGAACAAAUCAUGGUUGGUUCGCAGCAAAAUAAACCACAAUCCCUGGUUCACAUAUAGCAUUAAGCCAAAUAUUGUGACUUGUUGCUUUGCUCUCAUAAUGAAAUUAAAGUAUGUUCAUGCUAAGCCAUUAGCCAUGGUUCUUCUGGAUGUGUCAAUAAAGCCAUUAUCACAUUAAGAAGAGUGUACACUUUCUGGAAACCACGAAAAUGAAGCAUUUCAGAAAUGAGCAGCCUUCAUAAAUAUGAAUCGUUCAGAGUAUUACAGGAAUUACUGUGUUUUUCACCACUGACUGAUCCCUAAAGAGUCUGGCUAGGUUUCAGUUAUCAGAACAGAAAAUUACUAUUUAUAGCCCUAAUGCUGCAAUCCUAAACACGCCUACCUGAGAGUAAGUCCCAUUAAACUCACUGGGGUUUACUUCUGAGUAGGCAAGUAUAGGACUACACUAAUGAUUGCAAUAAAUAAAUAAAGAUGUUGAGAACCUGGGGUGUCGUUUUGCUCAUGUGAACUGUGUGUCAUCUCUCUGGUGCACACCUGCUACACAGUCCGCCAUCCUAAAUACAGCCCUUGGGUUAUCCAUUUAUUAUAUCUUGCUUUUUCAUCUUCAAGAAGAGCACCAGCCAACACCUCUGUAGGAAGCAAAGCAUUCAACUGCUACUCACAGCAUGCAUUAACUAAUACCGGCAUACACAACCUGUGAUCCACCAAUAUGAACACAGCCCACCAGCCAUGUAUGGCUGCUUGCCAGGGGCUUUGUAAACCCUCCUGGUUAUGUGGCCUGUUUGGAAUUGGGGGGAAACAAACAGGGGAGGAGUGGUGUCUCGGGGUGUGGAAGAAAAGGUCUUUCUUCUUCUUUUAGAAGUUCAUGUUGUGUUUGGCUUGUUUACAUCUGUUUCAUUUCAAUUCCAUUUCAUUUUCACUUGUUUCAUUUUGGCAUUGUGUUAGUCAUUUGGUGAGGGUUUUUUAAAAAAAACUUUUAGCCACUGCUUAUAGCAAAAGCAGAAAUGGAAUAGACAUCAAUUCUCCUGGUGGCCAUCAUUUUGUUUACUGCAGAAUCCCCCAAUUUAGUUUUGUUCCGGCAUAUUUUGAGGAGCUAGAUGGGCCAAUGUUCUUACCAGUGCUUUUUUUUCUAGAAAAAAAGGUGUUGGUACUCACCACGAAGUUGUUACAGUAAGUGCCACGCUUUUAACCCAUGCUUUUCUUCUAGAAAGAAAGGUGUCAGUACUGUAUACCCUUGAAUACGAGGGGGGGGGGACUCUGGUUCUUACUUGAUAUAAGUUAGCUCUCUUGGUUCAAGUGAGUUAAAUUUCAGAAGUUAAAUACUAGUCUCACAUUUAUCUCCAACCUUGAUAUGUGGAAGAUAUCAGUAUCCUAAUGUGCCUUGGAAACACAAUUAUUACGGCUUUCUAUGAAGAAUAACAGGAUAAGGUUAGAGAUCUGUAGCCUCUACGCUUUGUAAGAAGUGAGACUGAGAGCAGUGCAAUUGUCCUGAAAAUUAUAACUGUGGGAAGGUGCCAAAAAUUCAUAGUAUCAGAACUUGCCCUGGCUAUGUGACAGAACUCUGCUCUGUUAUUGUUUCAACAUCCCAAUAUCCCCUGGGUUUCUCUCCACUGGAAUUCUGGCAGGAAUUGUAGAUUUUAGAACACUGGUGAGAAAUUAAGCACAAUAUGCCAUCACAAUAAUAACUUUAAAAGCAAAACAAAUCACUCACUGUCUGUGUUCUCGUGGAAAUUUUAUUACUAUUAUUAUUAAGUGGGGAAGAAAUGAAAAAACAACAACUACACAAAACCAAAAUACCAUUCCCAGUUUGUUAAAGUAAUAUAAUAAUAGGUGAUACCCAAGCAAGCCACAGCUCACACAGGAAAGGCCACAAAGGAAAAGCAAUUUUGAUCAUCCCAAAGGACAGACUGCCAAACAGGAACAGCAACACCUCGCCCGUAUUUCAUCAAAAGGGUUGUUACACACAGUAUCCCUCGAAUUCAGCAAAAUCCCUAAAUACAGAUGAUGAGAAACACAUCCCUCAGCUUUCAAAGCAUUUUGGAAAUGCAUUCAGAGAACAAAGGCCGAACGAGCUUUCUCUCCUCCACCCCACCCUCACUCUUGACAUAAGUAGGCCAUCAACUUUAAUGAAAUGAUAACAGCAAAAUGCUGGAUCUAAGCCAGCAUUUUAAAACCAUGAGCUGGAAAUAUAACGACAUUGCCAAGAAUGUAAAAACAGCCCUGCCAGAGUCUCUUGACUUAUAUUUGGACAUCAUAUUUAAAGACAGAGCAUCCCAUAAUAAGCCACGCACUGCUAUAGCCUGGGGCUUUAAACUCUUGUAGUUGUAGCACUGCCAAAGUUUGCUUUACUUUGUAAAAUUAUUCCUGAGCAUGGAAUUAUGGUAUACCUCCCCCCCAAAAAAAACACCUCACAUGGAAAUGAGCUAUGAUGUUUACUCUCUGAUACAUGACCACUCACACCUAUUAUAAAUUAUUAGCUUUAGAACAGUGCCGUGCCGAAUAUUUGCCAUGAUCCACUUUUUGUACCAAAAUACAUCCCUUUAGAAGUGGAGACCUGCUCAUGAAAUUAGAUCACCCUCGAACUGAAAAUAGAAAAUGCAUUACGUUAUCACGCUGGCAAAACAACAACAACAGCACAUUCAUCACACAGGCUAGGACUGCAAAUAGCAUGGUGUCGUGGAUCAUUACAGAUAACCACAGCAUUGCCCCUGCUUUUCAAAAUUGCGUUUGCACUGCUUAAAGUGCUAUGGGAUGGAGAGGGCAUCUUUCUGACAGGCCCUUUAGCUGCUGUCUAUCAGGGGAACAUAGUUUGUCUAAAACCUAGGGAUAGGGAGUAAGAAAUUGGGGGUUGUGGAAUGCAAUAAGAAUUACUGUGGGUUUUCAACUGAUUGUGUGGGCCCUGAGAUGGAUGUGUGUGUUCAGGUGACCAGGUUUUUGUCAAUAGUAAGAAGAAAUUCAAACACAGGUAAGGAUUAGGAACAGGAGCAGCUGGCAGUGGGGAGAUGGGGGUGCAGUUGCUCACUGAGACAAGAUGGUUUGAGGGCUGUGUGGAGAGAGUCUCUUCCUUUAAAUUCCUAGGAGUUUAUCUCACUGAAGAUAUUACUUGGAAAAUAAAUACAACCCCGGUGUUUAAGAAAGCCCAACAGAGACUCCAUCUCCUCAGAAUAUUGCAGAAGAACGAUGCCAAUCAACAUUUGAUGAUCUCCUUCUACCGGUCAACAAUAGAAAGUGUUCUUUCAUACUGCAUCACGGUGUGGUACGCUGGUUUGACAUCAUCUGAUAGGAAGUGCCUACAGGGGGUGGGGAAUACAGCACAAGAUAUUGUGGACUGUCCCGUGAAUCUGCUGGAUGAAAUAGCGGAAGAACGUUACCUCAGGAGAGUGAGGAAAAUUCUCAGGGAUGAUUCACACCCUGACCAGCACUUUCUUGAUCUCCCGCCCUCAGGCAGAAGGUAUAGAAGCAUGAUUAGUCGCACCAACAGGGUAAAGAACAGCUUCUAUCCGUGGGCUGUUAGGCUGCUGAAUGAAAAGAUAACAACAGGGCAACUGACUUUCGGGUUUGGUGGGUGUGCUUCAGUAAACGAGGGAAUUAAGACUAAGAGAGCUGAGCGGGGGGUGCUCGUGUAAUCUCACUGUAUACAAGUUGUACAAGUGACAAUAAAGUAUUUCAAUUUCAAUACUACACCGAUCCUGGCCAGACUGCACAGACUGCCAAUCAGCUUCCAGAUCCAAUUCAAAGUGCUGGUUUUGACCUGUAAAGCUUUAAAGGGCUCAGGACAGCAAUACCUCAAGGACCGACUCUCCCCAUACAAAAUGUCCCAGACUCUGCAUUCAACAUCUGAAGCCCUUCUUUGUGUGCCUCCUCCACAUGAAGUCCAGAGGGUGGCAACACAAGAAAGGGGCCUUUUCCAUUUGUGGAAUGCUCUCCCCAGGGAGGUUCGCCCAGAGCCUUCAUUAUUUAUUUUCAGGCCGCUUUGAGAGUGUGUGGUGGAACAUCCGAACCAGGGGCACAAAACCAAACUAUAUGUCAAAGCAAACCUUUUAGAAAAAUAGUGCAAUGAGUAGAUUUAGAGGAGGUAAAAUGGAUCAGCACACACCAUACCCUGAGUUCUCCCUCCCAAACCAGUCAGUGAGCUCUCGGCACAAUCUUUUUAAAAACAAUAUGAGCUAUUCCUUUCAGAUCUAUUAUUAUGCCAUUUUCGUUGGGUGGUGAUAUAUAUAUAUAUAUAUCCCACAGAGAAUGUUCUGCCUCCUUUCAAUCUGUGCCACAAUAAAUGUUUCCCAUUUCUGGAACAGUGGGGUUCUUUUGAAGAGGAGGGAGUACCCGAGAGGACAGAAUAGCAAAGGCAGCUGCGGCCCUUUGACAAAUGAAAUAAAUAACAUUGUCGAGCCCAGGAAAAGUGGGACCCCUGAGGGCGUCACAUUCAUUUCCUCCUCGAUAGAAUGUGGGGAUCAGAUUGUCAACCUGAUUGGUUGUUGCCACAGCCUCGCAGGUAGGGCCGUUGUUUGCCUUCAACAGGCCCCCUGGUUGCUGUAAACUUAUUCAAUUAAGAGGGGGGAAGAGAAAUUGCCGAGCUGUCGAUGGCGACCAAAGCAUUAAGCUCGCGGAAGAGGACAAGGCCGUUUGUCUCAAAACACUGUGAUCAGUCAAGAAAUAAACCUGUUGGCAGAAGGCCCAGGACUUCUCAAGAGCACCUUGUGAAGAUGAGAGCUUUUUUUUUGUUUUUUCUCCUGGAGGUUUCGUGGGAAAGAGUAUCAUUAAAUGAGGCUGUGGUCAACAACUAGGUAACUAGCACUUGGCUGCUCCUUGAAGUGUGACUAAUGGAGAUGCUGGAGAGGAAUCCAGCUCGAAGACCUUGACAGAAGACUUCUGAAUGCCCUUGUUCAUAAAUUCAAAUCACAUGGGGGGGAGGAAUGCUUCCCAGUAGUUUAGAGCACCUGCCAUUUCCCAUAGCUGCUCCUAGCAAGGAUGCCAAGACCCUGCCCACCGCUGCUUUAGGAAAGGAGAGAACUUCUGUUCUUCAGUUCCUACACAACAAUGUUCCAAUUUGCAAGGGUUGUGGGGUUGGGAAGGGGUUGUUUGUUUUUGUUGCCAGAAGGAAAAAUAAACGCCGGCGUUGCCUCCUUGAACUUCCUUCUCUCUUGCAUCAAGGCUGCAGCAUUUUGCUGGCAUUGUGGGGGGAAAGCGACGGCAAGAUUUAUUUACCGCUUAAUAAAGAAUCUCCAAGCGGUCCGCAUAAAACAGUGUAGAAUAUCAAUUUAAAAUUAGCAAUAGAAACAGACUGUAAAAGCAGUGCACAUAAUGAAAUCACAUAAAACAGACAAAAUGGUGACAUGUCUGGUUUUUAGCAGGCGUUGGGAAAAACAACAAAUAGCUCAUCAGGAGAGCAACUGCUUUGCCCCCAAUGCUGGAACCAUUUCUCAUAGGGCAGUCGCUCCAGCCUCCAGAUCAUUUUGGUUAUCCUUUAUUCCAUUUGGUUUUGAUCUUUUAAAAACCAGAACUGAGGACAUUGGUCAUGCCUGCUUCAGAAAUUUCAAACUGCUCUGAAUGUUGCUGUUUUCGCUCCCUUUCAGUCCGACCAAUAAGUCUACCAGGAACUCUGUGCAGUGGAGCAGCAUAUAGGAUAUUAAGGGUCUUAUUGGGGGAGAAGUAUAAUCAUGACCAUUUCUUGCCAUUAUUAAAUGUGGGGAUAGAAAAAUAAUGCAAUAUAAUCAUCACACACUUUUUUUUCUCUUGCAUAGCAAUUUCAGCUUUCGGGCAGAUUAUGUUAAAACACCAAUUUUCCAUUGUAUGUUCAUAAAACAAUAUAACCUUGUUUUCUAUUGUUUAGACACUUGUCAAACUCCCUUCUCCCCAUUCAGAGAAAGAGAAAGUUGCAUUUUACACACACACACACGACUCACUGAAAACAGAUCAAACACACAUUUUUGCCUCCUCACUCACACACAAAGGCACGUAAAAGAAUACAUUUUCUUCACAGUAUGUUUCUGUAUUUUAAUCACCAGAGCUUCCAGAAUCUGCACAAUCCUUAAAUGCUGAUUACUUGAGAAUCUUUCCCCUCCUCCAGAAAGCUCAGGAUGGUUUAAGUGGGAUAAUCCCAAUUUAUCCUCACAACUUUCCGGUGUGGUUGGUUAGUCUGAGAUGCAGUAGUACUUUUCAUCAUGCACAACCAUGCUGCAAUACUGAAUUGAAGGAUGGCACACACUCACAUGUGCAACAUAUUUAUUUAUUUAUUUAUUGCUUAUUUGUUUGGAACAUUUUCUGCUACCUUCAGUGCAAGAUUCUCAGGGGCGAGUAAAUACUCAAAAUUAAUUGGAUCUGAACUGACACAAAAUUUAUUAUAUCAGGUGCUCUAUUACAUACAGGGAAGACUCUUACCAUGUUCAUUAAUAUUUUUUAAACCCGCUAUUGAUAUUACUGACAUUUUAAUGAAUGACAUUUUAUCCUUUCUCUCUCGUUCUCUGUGUUCUUUCACACUUUUCCUAACAGCCCCCCCUCCUCCCUUCUUUUCUGCCCGACAUGCUUCUUUGUGAUGGGACAGGUUAUUGUUGCUAGAAGUCUGGGCUGAUCUCUUGCAGAGGACUCCCCCCCUCCCUUUUCUGCAUCCUCCUUCCAUUGCUCCUCCCAUUUCAGAUUUCCCUUCCAUUUCCCCCUCUCCAACUGAGUUCCCCAUCACCAUAUGAAAUUAGACUGAAAGCUGCCAUUGAGCCACUCCAGAUCUAGGAAUAACAUUUUGUAAGUGCAUCUAAUCCCUCCUUCUGCCCUCACAUUCUCUCGCCGCCCAUUAACCCCCUUACAGGGGUUUGCCCCUUCUUUGGCAGAUAAAUUUAUCUGAUGCUGGAAUACAUAAUCCAGAUUUGUAAUAUUUAGUUAUCGUUGGGCUUAAUUUGUUGCUUUUUUCAGGCUGCUUUCCCUGGCCUUUUGUUGUUGUUGUUUUUCUUUAAAUAAACUGCUGUAAACUGCCCUAGGGAAUCUCCGGGCAUUGACACCGGAGAAAUCUAUAUAAAUAAUAGGAUCGAGAAAAGUAGCCUCAGGUCUUUUAUGAAGCUAAUAAAUCAGUGUCUUUGCAAAGCUUACAGAAUGUCUUGGAACUAAAACUAAUCUAAAGAAAGUUAGGCGCCCUUACAUCUUAGGGCUGCGCCAAAUGUCCUCUAAUUUAUGAUAUUCGCUCGUGUAGCUCAACUGAACUGAUUUCGGGGGGUGAUGGGAGAGCAACCACCCCAUCAAACAUUUGCAUUGUUUAGAUAACAAAAUUUGUAUACCAUCACCACCACCCUGAUGAAAAAUGAGGUGUGAUUGCAGCGUUUAGUAUAGUUAAAAAACAAACAAAAAACCACCCCAAAUACUCAAUACUCAAAGGGACUGUCCUUCAGUUUUUUUGCCCAUUACAGUCAUACCUUGGAAGUCAAACAGAAUCUGUUCCGGAAGUCCGUUCGACUUCCAAAAUGUUCGGAAACCAAAGUGUGGCUUCUGACUGGUUGCAGGAAGCCUCUACAGCCAUUUGGAAGCCGCAGAAGCCCCGUCGGACAUUCGCCUUCCAAAAAUAGUUCACGAACCAGAACAGUCCCUUCCAGGUUUGCAGCGUUCGGGAGCCAAAACGUUUGAGAACUAAGCUGUUCGAGAACCAAGGUACGACUGUAUUUCUUAGACUUCAUUACAAACAACCAGAGAUAUUGUCCUGGGGUCUAAACAGGAUUCCUGUUGGACUUCUGGUUCUCUUAGACCACUUUUGAAUCCAACUCUGCUAUCUGGUUCCAUCCUUUGAACUCUGAGUCUCGAAAGUAAUUCAGGAGAGCCUGAAGCUGCUAAUCAAAGUUAUCACUUGCUGCUGGUACAACUAUAUUUGUUGGGAGCUAUAUCACAAGUAGCCUCAAGUAGUAGAGGGCUAAUAGCAAUGGUUUCUUGAGCAAACCAGAAGCCUACGUCUUGUUCUUGCACUUAUUAAAUAGCCUCAUUUUACAUAGCCAGGCCAGAAACAAUUCCCAGUGGUAAUUGAUUUUUCAUCACCCCCUCUGAUCUCCUGGCUUUCCCAUGCUUCUGGGCCUCGACUUGAAAUUUUAUUAUAAGGGGCAUGAUGCUCCCUGACCCUUUGCAUCAUUAUCUUUCCAUGCCUCAGGGCACCCAGUUCUUGUUUAUUUAUGACUAAUGUAGAGAAGGCCAGCACUGAGCAUUCUCAUGGGAAUGAGCCUUUGUAACAGUUACCUAUCGGCUUUCCAAGGAUUAGAGUCCACCCGAGGAAUUCCCAGGAAAACCUCUACCUCAUUUGCAGGAUAGCUAUAGCGGGGAAAGAUUUGCAGAAUAUACAACAUACACACCCACAAAAUGGAGCACACCAUGUCUAGGCAGGGAUGUAAUUGUGGUGUUAAAAGCCUUUUUGCACUGGGCUCCCAAACUAGCUACAAUAAAAAGUGUGUGUGUGUAUCUAAAAAGAGAGAAAAAUAUAAAAUGAGCAGAUAAGGAAACUGACAAAAAAGGCAAAGCAGCACUAAUGAAAUUAAAACCAUUGAAGCAGAAAGGCCAAAUCAGACCAACAGGCCUAAACCCUGUCUAAAUUUUUUAAGCCUUCAACUGCCGGCGGGAGACUAUUAGAGAAAGGAUGUGGGUUGCAGUGCCUAAAUGCAACCACUUAGGCUUUCACAACAAGCGUGGGUGACAUCAAAGAACAGGCAGUGUCUGUGACUUCCUCGGGACUCCUCCCCUCAGAGGUGUCAACUUGUGAGUGGGAUCGUGGGGGGAACGGGAUGUCGCAUGCAUGACAUCACACGUGCGGUGACAUUGCGUCAGGACAUUGUGCCAGGUUGGAGGAGCCAGGAAUGCAGCAGUAGAGCAGCUUCAAUGGUUGGCAGCUCCUGCUGCUGCUGCCACCCACUGCACCCUGCUUCGCCCUUCCUUCCCCUCUGUGGCAGGAGGAGGAGGAGGAGUUGGCCACUGAAGCCACGAUGCCAUUGCAUUCCUAGCUCCUCUGACCUGACUCAACUUUUUUGAACAUUGGGGGAGGCAGCCGCCCCCCACAAACAAAUAUUUAGGGGACCCAAAACAGUCCGUCCCCUAGGAGUCAGCUCCCCUGCCUCCCCUCCACAUAAAAAUAUUGUACAACCUAAUGAUUUGAGCAGCAAAAUACAGCUAUUUCAGUAGUGGGUGUGUGGUGGGACAGCAGAGUUUCUCUGAGCUCUUGACAGCUUACUGGGAAGGGACAAGGUGGCAGCAGGUUGACAUGGUGCAAAUGCACCAGCGGAGCCAAUAAGCCACUUUCCCCCCGUGGGUUUGAAUGCUCCAAGCUCCCUGCCUACUGGUGAGGGGCAGAAAGUCAGCUAUUGGGAGGUCAGGGGAGCACCACCACUCCACCAUGUCAUACGCUCCAGGGCUGAGAUUAGGUGCCAUAUUAAUUUCCCACAAUCCCUCAAGCAGUGCUUUUACUGGGGGGAAGCAGGGGUAUGCAUACCUGUAAGGAGUUGUUGCUGCCAAACAACUCCCUAUUUCCUCUUCUGAGUCGGGCGACAAACUGCUAAUGAGCUCUUUCGGCUCUCGAUAAUUGCUUCUCUCCCCCCCUCGUCUCUCUAGCUGUCUCCCUUUCCCUGACAAUACCCCUAAACAUUUUGUGAAUCUAACGGGAGAAGAAACUUAAAAAAAUUAAGUUUUUAGUUUCUUCUCUAGCACGGUGAAUCAUCAGUUCCAUUGCUACCCCCCAAUGGUGGCCUCAUUUCCUGUCACAGUGUUUCCUGAGUCACAGAUGGAAGUGAGCGUUUAAUGUGUGAAGUAGGAGUUGGAAUCUAACACAGUGAUUGGUCAGUUUCAUUGUUACCACCUCCAAUGGCAGCUUCAUUUCCUUUCCUGGUGUUUCCUGAGUCUCAGAUGGAAGCAAGUGUUUCAUGUGUGAAGCAGUGUGGAAUGUGGAUGUGUGGUGGUUUUACUGAUGAAAGUUUGGCUUCAUUGGGGGGCAGCAUUUCAAUAUGAAUAGGAAAAUUACUAUUUUUCAUCAUGGAAGUUUUCAGUAUGGAAUUUUACUGUGAGCUGUCAGCUGUAAUGUGUGUUCUUUGUACUUUUGUCCAUUUACUGUAUUUAUUUUUCCCGAUUUGAACUAUAAAAUGGUGAUUUUCUUGAGUACUCCUAAACAUUUUUUUAGAGAGAAAAAAAAGCACUGUCCUCUAGCAUAGCAACAUUCCAGGACAUUGUGGGAAUUUGGGCUCAAGCACCUCCUGCUGGUUGUGCUCAGUGCUCAGAGCACUGUUCUCCUCCUUGCCUGCCACCACUAGGUAAGCCUGAGGAAGUCCAUCAACAGAGACAGGGGUCAACUUUGUUCCAGGGCCCCUCACACCCAGAGCUGGCCCUGCUGGUUGUGUCACAAAUUCUUCACAUUUAUUCAUGUGAAAUCUGCCACAGAGACCUGGAUUGUUAUCUGCAUGAAAAAGGAGGAAAGCAUAAAGAAGCCUUUGAAACCAUAGCUUUAAAAAAUGGUAAUAAAAUAAUUGUCUGAAGAAAUCCCAGAAGUUUCCAUUUGAUGGAUUGUCAGAGAAAUGGAUUAUUCAAGCAGUGGUAUCCUUCCCCCACUCUUUGCAUUUGAAAGAUCAGGCUGGUAUUUAAUCUUCUCCUGGGACAUGUAUGUAGUGCUAAUAAAAUCUUUUGACUGUUGCUCAUUAAAGGUGGCCUGAAACUUUCAGAGAGAGAUAGACAUCUGGAUACCUUCAAGUAUCGCAGGAAGUAAAGGAGAGUUAGGAGACUGCAAAUUAGAUAGAAUCCCUCAAAGUUCCAUUGUGUAAAGCAAAUAAUAUAUAGUCAGUUUGAGUGUUCAGAGUUUCUCACAUCACAGAUGAUGUGAAAUACCUGUGAUGCAGCUGUUGGAGAAGUAACAGGUGAUAUAAGGCUUCAUGUGUCCAUACACAUCUCUCCCCCACUUUUGCAAACCUUUUUGCAUGUUGCACUACGUGUUUUAUCAAAGGGGGGGUGCCCAUUCCUGUUCACCUCACAAAUAUCUUCUUUAGCGAUCACUCAUAGCCGAGUAAGAUUGUCUUCCAUAAACACGGUUUUAACAAUGAGUCUGUAAGUGACUGUGGAGGCCAAUUCUGGACCCACACAUCCUUCCACAGUGGGGACAUUGGGAGUUGGCGGGAGUUGAUCACGGUGUGGAUUUGCCAAGUGUGCCUCUUCCUCUUAGCACGUUUCUCCCUUGCGUCCUGAGUUUGAGUGUCUUCAAAGCCCAUGACACCUUUGGUUCUCCAACUGGAGCACUCACAGGCCAGUGCUUCCCAGUUGUCAGUGUUUAUACUACAUUUUAAAGAAUUGCCUUGAGACAGUCUUUAAACCUCUUUUGUUGACCACCAGCAUUAUGCUUCCCAUUUUUAAGUCUGGAAUAAAGUAGUUGCUUUGGAAGACAAUCAUCAGGCAUCCGCACAACAUGACCAGUCCAACAAAGUUGAUGUUGAAGAAUCAUUGCUUCAACACUGGUGAUCUUUGCUUCUUCCAAUGAUAUUAGUUCGCCUGUCUUCCCAAGUGAUGUGUAAAAAUUUUCAGAGACACCGUUGAUGGAAUCUUUCGAGGAGUUGGAGGUAGCGUUUAUAAGUGGUCCAUGUUUCACAAGCAUACAGUAAGGUUGGUAGUACAAUAGCUUUGUAAACAAGCAUUUUGGUUUCCCUGUGAAUGUCCCAGUCCUCAAACACUCUGCACUUCAAUCGGGAGAAAGCCGCACUCGCAGAGCUCAGGCGGUGCUGGAUUUCGGCAUCAGUGUUGGCCCUUGUGGAAAGAUAACUGCCUAGGUAGGAGAAGUGAUCAACAUUUUCCAACGUUACACCAUUGUGUUGGAUUUGUGGCACGUGGAACCCACCCAUAGUAAUUGGAAAACUACUGCCUAACAUAGGCUGAGUUGAUUGGAGAGGCUGGGCAUUUGGAAGACUUGGGACUAUUUCCCAUCCUCUUCCAAUAAUUCAUGGUUUUCAUUUAACAGCUUUCCAACAUUAGCACUGCAAUUCAGCACAGAACUACUGCAACAACAGCAAUUCAAUGUCAAUUUUACAUUGUAGAAUUCUAUGCCAUCGCUAUCCUACAUUUGCAGGUACACGUCUUUACUACAUGUACAUAAAUGCUGUAAUUCCAACCAUUUGCCUGCACAUGUAUUUUGAAAAUGCACCUAUUUCUGAAAUCUUGUUUAUUUUGAAUAAAAUAACAAUUUCCUUUCUGCAUCUUGCUAAUGAUGUGUUGAAGGUGCUAUAAUCACAGCUAUUUCAUCAGAUCUUAAUAGAAAGCCUACAUAAUCACACAGCGUUUCAUUCCGUACAGUCAUGCAAAUAAAACCUCCUUGGUGCAAGCAAAACAUCUUGGAUUUUCAGGAUUAGUAGCUCGGUGUCAGCAUGCAUAAUAGAACUGUACUGUACAAAGGGCAAAACACGCUCCAAUUAAAUCUGAUUGCUAAAUCAGACAAUUGGUAAUUGCUAAAUGUCUACAGUUAUUUUACCCAAAUGACUCUGAAAGUUAACCAAGUUAUUUCUGGCCAGUGAAAAGGCAAAGGGCUGUAGUUUCUGGGCGGAAUCCCUAGCAUUUCCAGGUAUGGCUGGGGAAAAAUCCCUGUCCAAAAUCUCAGAGAGCUUCUUCUUGUCAGUGUAGUAGUAGCGGAUGGUGUGGUCUUGACCGAAGCCCUCAGCCGACCUCCUAACGGUUGGGUCACUGCUGCAUACCAGGAAGGAGAGUGGUGAGGCAGUGCAAACUCACUAGGAGAGACAAUCUGAUGCUCCUGCCAGUGUAUUUGGACUGCUCCAACCUCCUCCUCGUCCCCUCUCUAUCGGCAUGAUUUAAAGAUCUCCUCUUGGACAUAUUCAGGCCUUUGACCACAGAUGCAGAAAUACAGGCAGAAUGAAUUAAAAGCAGUAUACCAAGUUUUUGCCAACCAGAUAGCGAAAAAGCCGGUGGUGAUUCCACUGGGAGAAAAUGCUAAUGCGAGAAGCAAAAGAGGGUUUAUUAUGAAUCUGUUAAUAGCUGCUAAAAUCUUCUUAGUGCAACACUAAAAAUUACAUUCUGUUACCCUCAAGGAAAACAAAGCAAGGAAAAAAACAAACCUGGUGAGGUACAGACAUGGAGAAACUGUUAUGUUUAUGCUAUUUUACUACUAAUAACCCUGGGGGGGGGGAGUAAGGUCAGAUUGCAGCAGCAACAGCAGCAACAACCAUGCAUUUUAAGAGUGUUUGUUUUAAAGGCUUUUUCAUAUCUUAUAGUAACUAGUGCCAAAGCUAUUGAAUCAGGACACAAACAGUGUGGUUUUAAGCAAGUGGGCUGGCCUUUCCAGCAUGAAUACUAAGUACAUAGGACAGUUUUGUUGUUCAUAAGGGUAGGCAUGCAAUAUUCGAACCAUAAAUACAGUGGUACCUUGGUUUAAGAACUUAAUCCGUCCCGGAAGUCCAUUCUUAAACCGAAACCAUUCUUAAACCGAGGUGCACUUUCCCUAAUGAGGCUUCCCGCCACCGGUGCCCUUCCACCAUUCAGCUUCCAUUCUUAGACCGAGGUAAAGUUCUCAAACUGGGACACUACUUCCGGUUUCGCUGAGUUCGUAAACCGAAUCGUUCAUAAACAGGACUGUUCUUAAACCGAGGUACCACUGUACAGAUGUUCCUAAGGCAGAGAGGGUUUGUGGCCCUCCACAUGUUGUUAGAUACCAACUCCCACCAUCUCUGAGCAUUGGCAAUGCUGGCUGGGGCUGAUGGGAAUUUGUCCAAUGACACCUGAAAGGUCACAGGUUUCCCAUCCCUGUGAGGAAUGGUCACUUGUAGUCUGAAAUAUGGCAGCGGGGAGGCAGUACCCUCUGUUCCCUCCCUAAAUGGCAGUCUUCCAGCUUCCACAAGACAACCAGAACUGCACCCAAUACUUGUGUGGCAUAACACAGAAGAUGUCCAAUGAUAUCAACAUGCACAAGUUCAUGAAUCCAUCUCCAGCUGAGCUUCUGCCCCAUUUUCUCCAUGAACACAUCCCAAGUGGCACUAGAAAUGGAUAGAUCUGUCUGUUUUAGUUUCUCUCACUUUUUCAGUCUUCCAACCUUUACUUGCCCACAUUUCCAUGGUAAUUUCCAUUAAAAAAAAAAACCAAAACCCCAUGAGAAUCUGAGCAUCUUAAUGCCGAUUUCUCUAUAUACACAUUUGUAUGCCGUUGUCACUAAUAUGAUGUGUUAUUUUCACACACAUGCAUUUAAAUGCACCCCCCCCAAUGAAUACAUUUUUGUACACAUUGUUUGGAAAACUGCAUUGCAAAAUUCAGAGAAGUGCAAAUUUUGAAGGAUCCUUGCAUCUUCAGUGCAUGUAUUGGUUCAAGGAGUGUGAAUGAGAUGUUUUGGUUGCAUUUUGACGAGAAACUAAGGCCCUUUCUCUAACUGGCACUAAAAAACCCUCCAACUUUUCGUCAGUUUGAAAAAGCAGGGUGGGGGGACUGCUACCUGCUACAACAGGCUCCCUCCAACUGGGAGGAAAACUGACUCCAAAUUAAGGACCCUGACCUGCCCCCCACAACCUCAGCGGUCUCUAAUGGCAGAAAUCUUGGAAACUCGGCUCACAAAUGGAAUAAAGCAGAAGGCAGGCGCAGUUGGUCCCUCGACAUUUUGUGCAGAAGCAGCAGGACUGGGGGGAAAGGCGGGGAAGCUUUCCUUUGCAGAGAAAGAUGACAGCAAUGACAAGACGGUUCAGGUAAAGGUUUGCUUAUUAUUUCUCAUGCUGCACACGCUUUUCACUGUGUCAGCACAUAAAUAUGUUUGUUGCUCCUCUGCUGAGUUGUAGCAGGUGUACGAGGUCGUGCAGGUCAGGUUCUUGGCAGAGGAGAAACCGCUGGUGCGGCGCCUCAUUUUGUGUUAAGCGUCAUUUGUUUUAUUUAUACCUGUGCAACUGCUGGGGAGCAGAGGUGUUUGCAAGCAGAGGAGAGGGGGAAUCUAUCCUUUCAAGAUGCUGAACGCAAUCAUGGAAGCCGAGCAGCUGCUGAACUUAAAAGGUUGGUCCUAAGCAGUCAGGGAUGAGGAGAGCUGUUUAACAAAACUGGAUUCCCCAAAUGGAGAGCAUCCCAACAAAUUGGAGGGUGGGGGCACAGAACAACAAAGACUGAGCUUGCUCUUUGGGCACAGAAUGCUGACUGGAGGCAGUCCAGUCCCAGGAACAUUAGAAUCUUGGGUUUCUCCAUUGAUAUCUAUGGGGAUCUGCGUCAUCCAUCCCUUGGGAAAUUUUAAAAUAGGUUUAUGCUUCAAAAAUGAUUUUUUUAAAUAGGACAUGCAGCCUGCCAAAAGCACAGAUGAAGGGCAAAACUAACAGCUGAGCCAGGAUCCAGUUCUCACCAGCAUGCAUGUUUUAUCCACUUCAGUUGUGAAACUGGAUGGAAGUCCAUAAUUUGACGCGAGAUCUGCUUUCCUGUUACGUCUUACUAUGUCCUUAGACUGUGCCCUACUAUGCCGCAGUCUCUGUUACAAAUCUUGCACAUUCUAUUUCAGCCCUCAUUUGGUUUUUAACUUUAAGGUUGAAUAAACCAAUUGAAGUAAGUCAAUUAUUACACUCGGAUCCAUCCACACUCCAUUUAGCUUAUGAAAUUGAAAUCCCUCUUCCUACAGCUAACUCGUCUUUGUUUUCCCCGCUCUGGAACACAAAAGUGUACAAGCAGCAGCAUACGUUCCCCCCCCCCCCACCCUGACUUUGAUCACAUGCUAAGAUGCAUGCUUGUUUUAUUCUUAGGUGGCAGCUGAGGUUUUCAGAAUGUGUUCCAGGGAGCCCUGGAGUGGCUUGGACUGCAAGCUGACCAGGUGUUCUUCAAUGGGUCACGGAAACUGCCUUCAAGGAAAGAUGGUUCGGCCAGCACAGCUGAUCUCCUCCAAGCAUGAGAGUUCUGGGGCACACUCUCUUAAAACCCAGCAGUAAUGGUGCAGCCCAGGGGGUCUUCCUUGUGCUCUGUGUGAAAUUAUAGCAAUUGUAAAACUUUCCAUAGAAUGCUUUGCAAUACAUAAGGAUUUCUAAGCAGCCAACAUGCAGUUGGAAGCAGUGUCCGGGCGGAAAACGCUGAAAUGUCCUUGAAAAUCUGGAUGUAUGGCAACCCAUGUCUGAUGUCUAGAUUUUGCCAAAUUUCCUUAAAAAUAGCUCUAAAACUUCAAUUUUGUUUGAUAUUUUGCAAUUAAAGAACAUUUUUGUCUGGAUUUUCACUUUUUGAAAUAUGGCAACCCUAGGUUUCACAUCCAGCUUUGUAACCUGAGUUAAAAAUCACAGUUUCUCAAUCUGGAUAUGAUGGUAGACUGUAGCUAUAUGAUUUAUGUAGAGAGAACAUGACUAUGUGAAAUUACUCUAAUAGCUUUCAGUCAUGUGUGCAUGUAUAUAGAGUAUAUAAUGGCUGCAGUUAAUUAAUGAAAUUAAUCAAUUUGCAUAGAAAUUUAUUUAAAAGGUGUCUCGGUUAAUUGGGCAACACAUUUUUUUUUAAGAAAAGUUAAAUACAGUAAGUUACAAAAAACAGUACAUGGAAGGCAUGCAUAAAAGAAUGCCUUCUAAGUUGGUUCCUGGUGGGAUAUGUCAGGGAAAGCAAACAUUGUUGGACUUUAACUCCCACCUCCAGACAUUGGUGGACUUUAACUCUCACCAUAGGUACCCAGCAUGGCUAGUGGUCAGAGAUUAUGGCAAAUGUAGCUCAGUCAUAUCUGUAGGGGACUACAUCAGCUGCACCUUUUGUAUGUACAUGCUGUCGCACAGCUGCAAAUUAAUCAAGCAGUCUUCUUCAUAAACAGAAUAAAAGUUUACUUGAGAAAACAAACUUGUUCAGAAACAGCAUAGUCAAAGAGCAUACACAGAGUGCUCAUAGCAGCUAUCUUAGUCUUCACAGAGGCACAAAUCUUAGUUACUGAUUAACUGGAGUCCUGGAGUCACUCUGUCUGCAACAACACACUCACAUACUGAGCCAAGACUGACUCAGACUCUGAAGACAGACUGAGGCCCAGAGAGAUGGCUGGUCACAUUUAUAGGGAACCCAAGAUGAGUCACGAGUCACAGUGACGUGACAGUUUACUGCUAACAGUUACAGCUAGCAGGCUUGAAAUGAUUGUGUAGACCUUGCCUUACUGUUUCUGCUCUUAAGAACUUUUGUCUCAUGACACAUGCAUCAUCUAAGGGGAGGAGUAGCACCUCUGGUGAGGGACAUACUGUGCUUCUUCUGGGGUAGUUUCUCCAUUUCUGGUCCACACCCUGCACUCAGCCCUCACCAGUGGCUCCUAGAAGCUGUCAGCAUGUGACAGCAGCCACACUCCAGAAAACAGCUUCAGCUGGCUGGCUAAACCUUGAUGACUUCCCCUGCAUUUGAAGACAGGCCCCAGCAGAUUGAGCGGAAGAGACCAAUAGUGGGUCCAACGGCCAAGAAGGUGGUUUCUGCACAUGCUGCAGAGAGAUGUGAGGGGCAGAUGGGGCUCAUCCAACUGGGAAGGUAGCCCAUCCAGGAGAAGAAUGACUUUGAUCCUAAACCUUGUGGGAUAUCUUCAGGAGGAGAAAAGGCUAAGGAGUACACCUGACAAAUCUGGAGUGGAGUCGCUAUUACGGUUGGGUGAUACUUUGUACGCCUCCUUCUGGCAACUUCUGCAGUGCCACAUGUAUUGCUCUGCUUUCCUUUGGACGACAUGAGUGAGGCCAAGAGGGGUCUUGUUUUCCGGGCACUGGUAAACCAUGCUACGCCACUGGAACUAUUUUGCUCAAUUCUCAUUUAACUGCCAUUAGAGUGCUUUCUUGGGGGGGUGAUAUUUUGCACGCAUAAUAUUUAUGUCCUUUUUGCUUGCUCAUUUGCAAAUAUUUGUUUGAGGUCUGUGAUCGUUCAGGUCAGUGAAAGACACAAUACUGAGUGAGAAAAGAGAUUCAUCUUCAAAAAUAAAAAUGUGUAGAAAGCGG